UUUGUUAUUCUAUUGAAGAGAUAAAUAAAAGUAGGCCUAUAUGAUGUUGUAAUUUGUAAAUAAAUAGAUUCGAUAUACUCAACAAUCAUUAAUUGCAAACUAUGUUUUCUCUACACAGAUUGUUGUAAAAUGCUGGUAAACUUGAAAAAUACAAAGCGGUUUUUUCAAGGUCUACUCUUUCCCGACCACUCUGAAAUCAAGGCUCUUUAUUACGUACCACAACAAACCGAAGAUAUAUAACGAUCCCUAUACGUUAUAUAUUGUGGGACUUAUAUCAGAGUUCCUCCAUUUUCAUCAGGCGAUUUUCUGCAUCAGAGAAAUCACUAUUUCUGCUAUUUCGUCAUAAGUCCAGGAAAAUACCCUCACGCGUCAUCAGUUUUUAAAAUUAACAUGGCGGCGGCGUUUAUCAGUGCAAGUGAAAAACCUUACUGUCAAGCCACGAGCCCGUGUCCAAUCUGCCUUAUGAUGUUUUUGUGGCUUGCAUUGAGUUUUCAACAGAGGCUCAUAGAUCUGGUUACUGGCGCUGCGGAGAGCGGGGAAAAUUACGAUUCUGACUUCCCGGAAGACGGCGCAAGAGAGAAGCCGUCUUCUCCGAAAAAAGACUUAUUUGAAAAACAGAAAUAGAAAGUUCGAGGUGACAUUUGGACCGGGGUAGAAUCGGACACUUGGACAAAUUUGGAAAUCGACUUCUUAAAUCUGCAUAUAGUUUGUUUAACACGCGUAACUUCUCUUCAGCAAAGGCCUUGAUAAAUAUUUACCAUAUACAGUAUUGCGACACAUAUAUAAAUAAAUAGUACAAGUACUGCUCAAAUAACCGUCCGAGCUACCCCCGGUCCCCCAAAUUCUGCUUGUAUAUAUAUAUGUGAUUAAGUUAAUGUUAUUUAGUGUUUCCAAUUAUAGUGUGGCAUUGUAUAGUACUGUGGGGUAAGAGGGGACACCAUUGGCACAUAAUAUCCAAAUAUUCUGAUCGUGUUUUAAACAAUUAACAACGGUUUGUGGGUGCCGUGAGGAUACGGUUUUAUAAUUCUUUGAAUGUUUUUCGUUUACUACCAAAUGGGACGAGAAAAUAGAAAGAAAAGGUGUCCCAUCUUCCCUACCAUACUCUAUACUGACGAUUAUCAUACAAACAGAAUAUCUGCAUUUAAACCACACGGUGUUAUAUUUAACUUACCGUUUCU